rnacentral:tRNA from 1 species
GGGGAGGUGGCAGAGCGGCUUAAUGCGGUGGUCUUGAAAACCUCUGGGCGGUUUGCGCCGUCCCCUGGGUUCGAAUCCCAGUCUCCCCGCCA